UGGGGAAUUUUGCGCAAUGGGGGAAAGCCUGACGCAGCAACGCCGCGUGAGUGAUGAAGGCCUUCGGGUCGUAAAGCUCUGUCAGAGGGGAAGAAGUGUAUGCGGCCUAAUACCUCGUAUACUUGACGGUACCCUCAAAG
rnacentral:rRNA from 1 species